GGCGAACGGGUGAGUAACGCGUGAGUAACCUGCCUUACACAAGGGGAUAGCCGUUGGAAACGACGAAUAAUACCCUAUGAAACCAUCAGAUCGCAUGAGGUGAUAGUCAAAGUGUUUAGCGGUGUAAGAUGGACUUGCGUCUGAUUAGGGAGUUGGUGAGAUAACAGCUCACCAAGGCGACGAUCAGUAGCCGGCUCGAGAGAGUGUACGGCCACAUUGGGACUGAGACACGGCCCAGACUCCUACGGGAGGCAGCAGUGGGGAAUUUUGCACAAUGGGGGCAACCCUGAUGCAGCGACGCCGCGUGAUUUAGAAGGCCUUCGGGUUGUAAAAAUCUUUUGUAUAGGAAGAAAAUGACAGUACUAUACGAAUAAGGUCCGGCUAAUUACGUGCCAGCAGCCGCGGUAAUACGUAAGGACCGAGCGUUGUCCGGAAUCAUUGGGCGUAAAGGGUACGUAGGCGGGCGCUUAAGUUAGAAGUGAAAGGCUAUAGCUCAACUAUAGUAAGCUUCUAAAACUGGGCGUCUUGAGAGAUGGAAGGGAAAGUGGAAUUCCUAGUGUAGCGGUGGAAUGCGCAGAUAUUAGGAGGAAUACCGGUGGCGAAGGCGACUUUCUGGCCAUUUUCUGACG
rnacentral:rRNA from 2 species